UACAAACGAGAGAGGUCCCUUCUC
rnacentral:siRNA from 1 species